rnacentral:rRNA from 1 species
CCAGCUUGCUGGGUGGAUUAGUGGCGAACGGGUGAGUAACACGUGAGUAACCUGCCCUUAACUCUGGGAUAAGCCUGGGAAACUGGGUCUAAUACCGGAUAGGAGCGUCCACCGCAUGGUGGGUGUUGGAAAGAUUUAUCGGUUUUGGAUGGACUCGCGGCCUAUCAGCUUGUUGGUGAGGUAAUGGCUCACCAAGGCGACGACGGGUAGCCGGCCUGAGAGGGUGACCGGCCACACUGGGACUGAGACACGGCCCAGACUCCUACGGGAGGCAGCAGUGGGGAAUAUUGCACAAUGGGCGCAAGCCUGAUGCAGCGACGCCGCGUGAGGGAUGACGGCCUUCGGGUUGUAAACCUCUUUCAGUAGGGAAGAAGCGAAAGUGACGGUACCUGCAGAAGAAGCACCGGCUAACUACGUGCCAGCAGCCGCGGUAAUACGUAGGGUGCGAGCGUUAUCCGGAAUUAUUGGGCGUAAAGAGCUCGUAGGCGGUUUGUCGCGUCUGUCGUGAAAGUCCGGGGCUUAACCCCGGAUCUGCGGUGGGUACGGGCAGACUAGAGUGCAGUAGGGGGAGACUGGUAAUUCCUG